UAGAUAAAUUCCAUCAGCGGAUGACCACUAUGAAGCAAAAGUUGAAUAUGCUAACACAUAUGCUGAAUGAAAGUUGUGAAGAAAUUGCUAAAACAUUUGUGCGAUGAAUAACGUCAGUCAUAGAAUCCUUGAUCGAAAAAAUAGACACAUCAAAUUUAUACGAUUCUUACGUACCUGUUACGACAGACAUUGCGACGACUCAUUGUUAGAAAUGUUACUGAGGAGAAUCCAAAAAUCAGCAGUUACAUGGGAAUUCGAGUUACGCAUCAAUAUAGCAGAAUUAAAUUAGAUGUUUAUAUCGAUAUGCUGUCACCUUUAACAUUAACAGCGGCGAACGGACAAUCAACGGAAAUAUCACAAAUACAUUAUUGGAUGGAUAGACAACAAUUUUCUCACAAUCCGGCAGUUUUUCAAUUGAAAAAGUUGAAUUUCGAAAGAGACCAAACGGUAAC